AUGUGUGGACGCCCAGCCCAUCGGGAGCUUCAUCAGCCUGACUCUCAGGAGAAGCCAUGCUGGUUUUUUCAUAUACUAAGAAUGACAGAAACAUUUCAAUCAGAGGAGGGGCCGAUAUGGCUGAAUAGGAACAGCUCCAGUCUGCAGCUCUCAGCGAGACCAAUGAAGAAGGCAGGUGAUUUCUGCAUUUCCAAUCGAGGUACCCAGUUCAACUCAUUGAGAUUGGUUAGGCAGUGAUCCAACCAACAGAAAGCAAGCAGAAGCAGGGUGGGGCAUCACUUCACCCGGGAAGUGCAAGGAGCCCAAGGACCUCCCUCCCCUAGCCAAGGGAAGCUGUGAGGGACUGUGCUACCCAGCCGGGUUACUAUGCUUUUCCCAUGCUUUUUGUAAUCUGCAGAUCAGGAAAUUCCCUCAUGUGCCUACACCACUAGGACCCUGGGUUUUAAGCACAUAACUGGAUAGCUGUUUGGGCAGACAUUGAGCUAGCUCCAGUAGUUUUUUUUCAUACCCCAGUGGGGCCUGGAACCUCAGCAAGACAGAACAAUUCACUCCCCUGGAAAGGGUGCUGUAGUUAGGGAGCCAAGAGGUCUCCAGAUCCCACUCCUACAGAGCCCAGCAAGCUCGGAACCACUGGCUUGAAAUUUUCCUGCCAGCAUGGCAAUCUGAAGUCAACCUGGGAGAAUUGAGCUUGGUUGGGGGAGGGGCAUCUGCCACUACUAAGGCUUCAAUAGGUGGUUUUCUCCUGACAGUGCUAAGAGGCCCAGAGGCCCGGAGGACUGGGUAGAGCUCACCAUACUGAGGCAAAGUGGCUGUGGCCAGAUCGCUUCUGUAGAUUCCUCCUCACUGGGCAGGGCAUCUUUGAGGGAAAGGUAACAUACCCAGUCAGGGGCUUACAGACCAAACCCCCAUCUCCCUGGGACAGAGCACCUGGGAGAAGGGGUGGCUGUGGGUGAAGCUUCAGAGGAUUUCAUCAUUCCUGCCCACCAGCUCUGAAGGGAGCAGCUGAUCCUAACAAAAGGGAUUCUUCCAGCACAGUGCACCCGCUCUGCUAAGGGACAGACUGCCUCUUCAAGUGGGUCUCUUCUGCUUGAUCAAUUCAGCUAUUGAUACCUGUGUAUACUUCAUGAAGUUCUCAUGCUGUGUUUCUCAGCUCCAUCAGCUCGUUUAUGUUCUUCUCUAAACUGGUUAUUCUAGUUUGCAGUUCUUAUAACCUUUUAUCAGGUUUCUUAGCUUCCUU
rnacentral:lncRNA from 13 species